CUUUUAUUGUCUAAUUUCUGUUAAAAAACGAGUGAUUUCCGGUUUCUUUUUGGUGUUUUAAUUCCUGGUGUGCAGCGCGCGAGUCCAUCUUACCAUAAAAGGACAAAAACCGCCAAAAGCGCCAUGAUUAAUGAGCCACGUUCACCUUUACCUUGAAUCUACCUGCACGAGCGGCUCUUUUGGAGCUGUGGAGACCUGCUGAGGCUGCUCAGUCUCAUUCAGCAAACAUGGAAGAGCAGAGACUGAAUUAAAAGCAAAGAAGAAGAGGACUGUCGCAUUUUCUCCACUAACUAACAUAGAAAGAUGACACAGAGCGGAGACAACAAAGACUCAGAGACCACCAGCUGAGAACGUUCAGGUUGCCUUCUCAGUGGUAUGGCAGGUUUGAGUGUAUCUUAAAGGGUCACGACCCUCCCAGACUGUGAGCUGGACAAACAGGACCGAGGAGCUGCAGCAGGACUUGGAAUGUCCCUUUUGUUUUUGUUUUGUUUCACUUUUUUGUCUAAAAAGUGGAAAAUUCCUCCCUCUGCACUUGCUGGAUCAAAAGAAAACACGGUCCUGGCAGCAAUGCCGACAGAGUUUUUAUAACUAAAAUUAUAGAAGCUCAGUCAGGACUCCUGUUUUGAAGCAUAAUUCUUUCCUUUCCCCUUUGUGUUUGUCAUCUUCCAAGCCAAUAAAACUGAUUUAUUUUAAAAGCACUACUUUCUUUUGGAGCACAUUUUAAGCACAGCCUCUUGUCUCUAUAAUCUGUGUGUCCAGCAUUAUUCACAAUGUGUCUGAAACCAUGUGGAACCAAUCUUUUCUUAAUA